UACGGAGGGUGCGAGCGUUGUCCGGAAUUACUGGGCGUAAAGCGUGCGCAGGCGGUUAUGUAAGACAGUUGUGAAAUCCCCGGGCUCAACCUGGGGAAUUGCAUCUGUGACUGCAUAGCUAGAGUACGGUAGAGGGGGAUGGAAUUCCGCGUGUAGCAGUGAAAUGCGUAGAUAUGCGGAGGAACACCGAUGGCGAAGGCAAUCCCCCUGGACCUGUACUGACGCUGAGGAGCGAAAGCAUGGGGAGCGAACAGG
rnacentral:rRNA from 1 species